rnacentral:rRNA from 1 species
GUUAUAUGGUCAAGUGAAGAAGCGCAUACGGUGGAUGCCUUGGCAGUCAGAGGCGAUGAAAGACGUGGUAGCCUGCGAAAAGCUUCGGGGAGUCGGCAAACAGACUUUGAUCCGGAGAUCUCUGAAUGGGGGAACCCACCUAGGAU